rnacentral:rRNA from 2 species
AAAAAUUUAUUGCCUGGAGAUGAGCUCGCGUCUGAUUAGCUAGUUGGUAAGGUAAAAGCUUACCAAGGCGACGAUCAGUAGCUGGUCUGAGAGGAUGAGCAGCCACACUGGGACUGAGACACGGCCCAGACUCCUACGGGAGGCAGCAGUGGGGAAUUUUCCGCAAUGGGCGAAAGCCUGACGGAGCAAGACCGCGUGGGGGAGGAAGGCUCUAGGGUUGUAAACCCCUUUUCUUUGGGAAGAACAAAAUGACGGUACCAAAGGAAUCAGCCUCGGCUAACUCCGUGCCAGCAGCCGCGGUAAUACGGAGGAGGCAAGCGUUAUCCGGAAUGAUUGGGCGUAAAGCGUCCGCAGGUGGCCAUGUAAGUCUGCUGUCAAAACCCAGGGCUCAACUCUGGUCAGGCAGUGGAAACUACAAAGCUAGAGUUCGGUAGGGGCAAAGGGAAUUCCCGGU